AUAAAAAAGUAAGGCUGCUAAGAACUUUGGUUGGGGCGACUGAGGAACAAAUAAAGCUUCCUUUAAAUUAAAAGACUUACAAGUAUUGAUCCAACAAAUUUGAUUAAAGGAAUUAGUUACCGUAGGGAUAACAGCAUAAUCCCUUUUGAGAGUUCUCAUCGAAAAGGGGGUUUGUGACCUCGAUGUUGGACCAGAAUACCCAGAAGAUGCAGCCGUCUUCAAUGGUUGGUCUGUUCGACCAUUAAAAUUCUACGUGAUCUGAGUUCAGACCGGCGUGAGCCAGGUCAGUUUCUAUCUUCAAUUUCUAUAGUGGCCUUAGUAC
rnacentral:rRNA from 1 species